UUGCUUCAGCAGUACAUAUACUAAAACUGGAAUGGCACAGAGAAGAUGAGCAUGGCCCCUGUCCAAAAAGAUGA
rnacentral:snRNA from 1 species